rnacentral:rRNA from 1 species
AAGUCGUAACAAGGUUUCCGUAGGUGAACCUGCGGAAGGAUCAUUACCGAGUGGCUCUGCCCUCCACCCGUGUGAACUACCUGUUGCUUUGGCGGGACUCCGCCAGAGGCCACUCUGUAAGCUGUCGUCUGAUUAUACCAACGUUAAAACUUUCAACAACGGAUCUCUUGGCUCUGGCAUCGAUGAAGAACGCAGCGAAAUGCGAUAAGUAAUGUGAAUUGCAGAAUUCCGUGAAUCAUCGAAUCUUUGAACGCACAUUGCGCCCCUUGGCAUUCCGAGGAGCAUGCCUGUUCGAGCGUCAUUAAGCCUCAGCGCAGCUGGUGUUGGGCACCGUCUUUGCGGGCCCGGAAAGCAUGCAGUCUCGACGAGAAAUCACACGUCGGUGCACUGCCCCCUAUAUCUCUGUAUUGACCUCGAAUCAGGUAGGGAUACCCGCUGAACUUAAGCAUAUCAAUAAGCGGAGGAAAAGAAACCAACCGGGAUUGCCUCAGUAACGGCGAGUGAAGCGGCAUCAGCUCAAAUUUGAAAUCUGGCUCCGGCCCGAGUUGUAAUUUGGAGAGGGUGCUUCGGGCGCGGCAAAGGUCCAGGUUCCUUGGAACAGGACGCCAUAGAGGGUUAGAGCCCCGUUGGACCGCUGCCAAGCCCAUGUGAAGCCCCUUCAACGAGUCGAGUUGUUUGGGAAUGCAGCUCUAAGUGGGUGGUAAAUUUCAUCUAAGGCUAAAUACCGGCCAGAGACCGAUAGCGCACAAGUAGAGUGAUCGAAAGAUGAAAGGCACUUUGGAAAGAGAGUUAAACAGUACGUGAAAUUGUUGAAAGGGAAGCGCUGGCGACCAGACUUGCCCGCAGCUGAUCAGUCGGUGUUCGCACCGGUGCACUCGGCUGCGGUCAGGCCAGCAUCGGUCUCGGCGGCGGGAUAAAGGGCCUGGGAAUGUGGCCUCCUCCGGGGGGUGUUAUAGCCCGGGUCGCCAUGCCGCCUGCUGGGACCGAGGACCGCGCUUCGGCUAGGAUGCUGGCGUAAUGGUCGUCAGCGACC